CUCUCCUUUGCCCUGUCCCUCUCUCCUGAGUUUCAGGGACCAGCAGUUGGCUUCCUCCCAGCUCCUCUUUGAAGGGGAGUUGGGAUUCCCACUAUGUCUGGGUCUUCCUCCCUCCCAAAGGGACAGGGGUCUCUUCUGUGCCUUUGGUGUCCUUUGGGGUGGGGCAGGCCAGAAGAGUGGUCUAGGACUGCACUCAUUGGUGAUGUGUCCCCCAUCCACAUCCUACCCCGAGGGUCAGUGGAAGCAGCAGCUUGUCGAUAGCACAAAUUUAUAUUCCAGUGAGUUUACCUCUGGCUCAGGCCUGGGUCCUGGUCAUGCCCAUGUGAGGUGGGCACCUUUACACCACUGUCCCCUCAAGCCAGCAUUGAGCGGACUCAGAGCCUUGGUUCCCUUGUCAGUGACAUCGGGAUAAAAAGAACACUGUCCAUGGGAUGAUGUAGGUUGGUUAGCAGGCAUGGUGAUAUUACCUGUGGAAGGCACUGUGUAAGAGGCAAAACCGUCUGCUGUCAGAGCAGAGCUGAAGGCCAAGAAGCCCAGCAGGCAUUUGAGGCCUGACGGGAGCACCUGUGCCCCAUGGAGUCUACACUCACGUCAACACCGUUCCCUUCAACAGCGUGAGUCUCCCUCUGUAGUGGCCCUCAGCCCAGAGAGGGGAGAAACCACCGUGGGUCACCCAAAAAAGAGCCACAUCCGUGUGCGUGUGUGCGCCAACCACACAGGUGACCCAGGCCUGCCCCACUGCUUGUCCUGGCCCUUGGACCUCACAGCACUGUGAACAGGACCUUGCUCUUCUUUCUCAUAGGACGGUGUGGCCAGCCAUGGACCCCUUCACAAAACCUGUUCUUGGGGGACCCUGGAGUUUAGACCCCAGCCUCCAGACCAGCCACUCUGCAGGGCUCCCCAACCACGGUCCUGACACAGAGGUACACAGUGAGACAGGAACACAGAGUCAGACGUUCCGAGCUGGGAGGAUCACAGUUUCUGAGCUGGAGAGACCAAGAGGUUUAGGACUGGCAGACGACAGAGACUUAGAAGCUGAGAUGGAGACGCAGGUGCAGAAACACAGGAAAACCCACACUGAGCUUCAGCCCCCCAGACCCUGGCCCUGGCCCUGUGUAUGCCAUCAGGCCCCUGCCCCCUCUCCCUCGUUCCCUCCUUCCCCUGCCACCUGUACCCCUUUCAAUGCCAUCUGCUUGAAACCUCAAAGAGAA